UGUGUGUGUGUGUGUGUGUGUGUGUGUGUGUGUGUGUGUAACAGCUAGUGAUUUGUGCUGCUCUGUGCACGUCAGCAGGAAUUGAUCCAGCCACUGACUCAUGCUGAGCCAGAGGGCAUCGGCACACAAACAAACACACAUUAUUUAAUACCUGUGAGUUGAACUAAACCGUCAAAACUACACUCAUGACCCCAUUUCAACCCAAAUCUUAAAUUAAAUCUAAGUUUAACCCAAAAUCAGGAUCUGAUGACCCUUAACGGUCCUUGAAAGAAGUAAGUAAAAUGUAUUUAUAUGGGACCUUUCACAUAAACAAAAUCACAAAGUGCCUUACAACGUUAAUAAAACAAGGAUAAAAACAAUGAUAAAGGUAAUAAAUUGUUAAAACGGGAGCAACAACGAAAAUACAGUGCAUCAAAAACAAUAAAUAAAAUAAAUUAAAAUUAAAAUCCAAAUAAAAUAAAAUAAAAUAAAAAUAAUUACAAUAAUAAACUAAAAUAAAACAAAAUAAUAAAAUAAAAUAAUGAAAUUUAAAAAAAAUAAAAUAAAAAUAAAAUGAAGUAAUAUAAUAUGAGCAACAGCUGAAAUACAGUGCAUCAAAAACAAUAAAUAAAAUAAAAUAAAGUAAAAAUAAAUACAAUGAUAAACUAAAGUAAAAUAAAAAUGAAAUAAUACAAAAAAUAAAAUAAAAAUAAAAGGAAAUAAAAUAAUAUAAAAAUAAAAUAAAAUAAAAUCUAUUUAAAUCAAAUUAAAUCAAAUCAAAUCAAAUUAAAUUAAAUUAAGCAGCUAGUCAAACAAAAGCCUGUCAGAAUAAAAAUGUUUCCAGCUCCCUAAUAAAAGCGUCACAGGAGCCAACUGAUCUCACCUGUAGAGGAGGAGCAUUCCAACAUUUUGGUGUGAGAACUUGACAUGGUCACCUCUGAUUUUAUGCUUGGUUAGUGGGACAACAAGUAGAAUUUGUUGGCCUGACCUCAGAGCUCUAUUCGGGGUGUGAGGGUGAAGGAGGUCGGCAGUAUACGGGGCUGUUUGGCCACACAAAGCCUUAAAAGUUAGCAGCAGUAUUUUAAAAUGAACACCAGAAUUGAUGGGGAGCCAGUGAAGAGAGGACAGGACUGGGGUGAUGUGGGAUCUCUGGUUAGUUCCUGUUGAAAGAGGAAGAAGAGUCUGAAGAGAGAUUCAAACAGGUAGAAAGGAAAUCACAGUGAUCUAAACGAGAUGAAAUAAAAGCGUCAUUACGCUGGCUUCCUGUUAGUUAAAGGACAGAGCCCUAAAUCUGACUCCUGGUCUACAAAGCUCUGAAUGGACUUAUUAUCUCCAUAUGAAGCAUCCAGAGCCCUCAGGUCAUCAGGGACCGGUUUACUGAGUGUUCCCAGAACCAGAACCAAGACUAAUGAAGCAGUAUUCAGCUUGUACAAUUAUGCAUGUCUGAAGCUCCAUUCUAUUAAUCUGUGAGUAUAUAACAGGGAAGUAUGUUAUAUAUGUUAUACUAAACAAAAAAAAAUCAAUCUAGCAUUGCAGAAAUGUCUGCUUCAGGUGUAGACGUACCUAAAAUAAAACAAAAUCAGCAGAAAUUAGUUUUAAAAAGCACAUUUAAACGGAUUUUCUUGACUUUUUAGGUCACAAAUGCCUAAUUGUGCUGUUUAUGUCCAAACUAAGAGGAUAUUUCCACUGAAAUUAAGUCGUGAUUUUUUUUAGUUGUUAUACUAAAAAACAAAUCAGGUUUCAAUAAUUUUAAAAAACAGUCAUGAACCUCCUUGAAAGAGAUCAAGAAGCUCUUUGCCUGCUUAUAUAAGUUAUACUAAACAAACAAAAGUCAUGCUUUAAUGGUCUUACGUUGCAGAAAUGCCUGAUUCAGGUGUAGACAUAUCUUAAAAAAUAAAAAUAAAAAAAAGGCUUUUUAAAAGCUCGAGUAACCAGAUUUUCUUGACUUUUGGGCUGUUUGUGUACAAACAGAGAAUAUUUCCACCAAAAUUAAGCCCUGAUUGUGCAAUUAUACACGUUUUUUAAUAACCUGUGAGUAUAUAGGUCCAUGUACGAAUCUGGCAAUUGGAUUUUCCGUUCUGAAACGGGUAAUGAAAAACAAAAAACGAGUGCUGAUUUGAUUUUCGUUUUAAAAUACAAAAAUUUAAAUUGAAAUACAAGGUGUUUUUCCUUUUCAUGAUCACAAAGGGAUAUACGAAAUUUUAAAAAUGCUUUGAUUUUCAUUUUAUAUUUAGAAUAACAAAAAAAAUAAAAUCCGUAAGAGACAGAAACGAAAAAAGGUCCGUUUUUGCAUUUUCUGAGACCGGAAGUGGUCAUCAGCAAGUGUGGCGCAGUGAUUGGUCAGACCAUAGAUACUAUAGAAGACAACGCGCUAGCGUAUCCAGUCUGCUAUAUAUAUCUAUGGUAGGCACGUCUGGUAGCAUCUCUGGCUGCUGUUGACCUUGUUUUUGGAGUAAAACACGGUGGAAGCUGAAUUAGUGAGGAUGACUCCUGCUCCUGUCAUCUCUAAGCUCCUCACACAUCUUUACCUGCACAUGAGGAAAAUCACUCCUGUAGAAUGCAGUGGUUCAUCAGAACCUCUGGGGAUCCUGUGGAUUCUGUGGAUCCUGUGGGUUGCAGGGUGGAUCCUACCUAGACCAGGCUGAUCCUGGACCAUCCCACAGAUGCUCCAUCAGAUCUGGAUGUGGGGAGUGUGGAACCCAGAUGUUCAGAGGGAGAUGAUGCCACAUCUGGUCCAGCUGAUGGAAGGUCUUGAAGUUCUCUGACUGGCCUCGACUGAAGAUGGUCGUCUCACUGGAUUUAAGGUUCAGAUGCUCAGUAACAAACUCCACCAAUGAGCCAACAGGGAAGCUUUAGGUUUAUUAAAUGUUGCUAUGAAGGUUUCACUGUUUUUCUUUGUGAAUGCAAUGAGCUCCAACUGAAAGUUGAAUUAGAACUUAGAAGUAAAUCCUUCCAUCUGAAAGGAUUUAGUUGCAUUAAUAACCUCAUAACAUUCUAAUUUUUAUUCCAGUCUUGGUUGGAAAUAGAAUCUCUGUAUUGAUUCAGGUAAAAACUGAACUUCACAGCAUGUUGGAGCAAAACAACCAGAUGAAAACUGUGAUGGUGUUGGAUUGUCAGACCGUAAUGUUGCAGCUCAAAGCAGCUUUUCUAGCUCAGUUCAUUCUGACAUUCAGCUAUGAAUCAACACAGCAGAUGGUGAUCCAUGCUGUGGAAGUCUCACAUCUCCUGAUUUAAUGGAGCUGCUUUGCACUUUUUACACUGUUUAUUCACCAACUCUUUAUUUAAUAAAAGUCCCAUCGAGUUUUUAUGAGGAAUGUGAUGUUUUAAUUUCUCUGUUAAUAACUGCAGUCUAAUGGAACAGCUGGAGUUGUAACAUCUGUCCUGAUAUUGAUCAUGAAGUAUUGAUCAGAUUACUUAUGGUCAGCAGUCAUCCCUGAAGUUUUACUUUAAAAUCUUUACUUGUGUUGUGAACUUUAGUAAGAAGCAGAAACGUUAGCGUUGCCAUGGAUACAUGAGUGUUAAAUUCUGUCCAUGUUUCCAUUUUGGGAAAUUCAGUCCAGCAGAUGAGUUUGUUUUUACUGCCAGCUACCAUUCAGUCUGAGAUAUUAAGAAUAAAUAAAUAUGCAUAAUGUGGAAAUGAACAGAUUUUAUUUUUAUUUAUUCCUACAGCUGCUGCAUUUAAAGUUCCAGAAUGUGGAGGAAUUUAGGAUCACAAUCACAGACAACAAAUAUUAUAUGAAAGUCAGGUUGUUGUUGUUUAUCAGCACAAUACAAAAAGAUUCAUGUUAGAAAUAUUCCAGUUAAGACUCUAGAAUAUCAUGAUUUAUGUAAAUUUACCUCAAUAAUAUGAAUGUUCAGGUUAAGAUUGUACAGUGAUAUUUAUUAUGUAAGUUUAGCUGAUUAAAGUUUAUGACUCUGCACUAAAAUAUUAUUUAAACUGACAUCAUUAUUAUAAUAUUUAGGGUCAGACCCUACAGUAUUGAGAUUAAGAAAUCAAAUAUUCUAUAAAAUGUAAAUACACUGAACUCAUUUGGAUGUAUUUAAGUGAGACUCUACAAUAUUAUUUGACACAAAUCUAUCUAAAUCAAAAUUUGAAUCAUUUUUACUCCAAACAUUUACUGGACUGAUUUAAAUAUUAAAAUCACUCCUUUCUAAUCCUCUGCUGUACGUUCAAACCUGAGGCCUUAAAUAGAAACACACAAGUAUCUGAUUGAAGGAACUUCUGCAGAGUCCUGGUUCCAGAACAUGAUGAUAGAAUUAUAGACAAACUUUAACAAAAGCUGCCUGAGAGUUUACAGCUUUUUAUGUUGGAUUUCUUCAGUAAUUUAAUGACAGUUAUCAGCAAAAAUCAAUGUUCAUUUGAUGAACUUCAUUUCUAAAAACAUCCAGAAUUGGAGCUCAUAUCUUUGGCAGCUGUAAAGUUUCUGCUCCUUCAAAGUUCACAACACAAUGAAUGAAUUCCUAAAACACUCUCAAUGCUGGAGAGCGUUUGAUGCUGAAGCAGUGACCAGUUUUUCUGUUUCUUCUCUGGAGAUGCACAAUGAGGGACGUCUGCAGAGACUGAGAAAGAGUCUCACCACAUCCUGACAUGAGGAAAAAGACUUUAUUGAAGACUACAAUGAGAAAAACUAUCAGACAGCAGACGGCUGCAUUCAAGGUGAGCUCUGAACAUUUGAUCUGGAACAGGAAUUCAAUAACGGCAGCAUGAGCUUCAUUUCAGUCUGUAGCUGCUGAAUUCAUGGAUGAAUCAUCUGGCACUAGAGAGGAAGACCAUCAAACAUCCACGUCAGCUGAUGGAGGUCCAAGAGUCUCACCAAACAACCUACAGAGUGAAGACCUCGAAUGUGAUUGGACGGCCUCCUAUUCAGCCACAUGUGUGAACAAAUGCCUCUAAGCUGAUUUGUUUUCUAAAAUAAAUCUAGUUUGAGUCCUAA